GAUGAUCCUCUUUCUCAUCUUCUUUACUUCAUGCUUGAUGAUCCUGUUCCUCAUUUUCUUUGCCUUCAUGACCUUGUAGUGAUCAAAGUCUGUCAUCUUGGCUUUCUUUUCUCUGGCUUCAAUCUUCUUUGCCCACCUUGUACCUGUCCAUUUUUCAUUAAUAUUUUUUUUCUCCCAGGCAUCUCGCACAUGCUUCUGACGAACACUGUGUGGGAAUUUGAGUACAAAAUCGGUUAGCUGCCUGCACUUGAAGGGCAUAGCCUACCUUCUGUCACCACUGCAGGGGCCAUCAACUAGCACCCUGUUCUGGGGCUUAAGAGAACUAUAGUCAGAUCAAGAGAUCAAGAGCUGCCCCAUGAUAUUUGAAAUUAUACAAGACAGAUAGAAAGAUUCUUUUUUAUGAGAGCAUUUGAUGCCAAAAUAAUAUGAAAACGUUUCUUUAUUCAGUUCUCUGUAUGGCAGUGAAACACAUUUUAGUAGAGAAAAGCCUAUCUUUCUGUUAAAUUUUUUUUUAAAUGGACUGUUAAAUACAAUGAUGUGAUGAAUCAGAUACUGUACACUGGCACCAGAAGUAACUGGAAACCUCACUGUGAACAUCACAAAGUGUUCAAGGUUAUGUUUCACUCGGUUGCAGCCAGAAUCAAUAAAUCUAUCCUAGUUACUUUACUGUACGUGUUGUACUGCUUACUCACAUAAAUAGCAUGACACACUAGUCUUAAAGAAAGUUGUCUUCCAAGAACCAAUUUUUAACCACUAUACUGUUGAAAUUUGAAAAGCAAAAGAAACCUGCUUAUGUCCUAAAGUAGGAUACAGACUCAGAUACAUACAUAAUUUUUCUGACCGUUUCCCAGAAAACAAUCAUGCCAACUGAAAAUUUACCUCAUGGGCUGCA